CUUAAAACAAAUAUUUUUGAUGCGAAGUCAGUCUUUCAUUGCACAAAGGACAAAGAUUUACAUUCUUUGUCCAGUGAAGUCUUGUGACCUUUAGUUAUUAGAUCAGACAAGCUAUUUUUGUACUUUACUUGUGUAAGUGUGGUAUGUAAUUCCAUUAUUCACAAAGAAUUUGUGAAAUUUAUAGCCUUUACCAGAAAUUGUAACAUAGUGGGAAUUUCUGUCGAUUUGUUAGGAUGCACACAUCUAAAGGGACUUUUAGACCUACUCCAGAACUACAUAUGGAAACUUCCACUGAAAACCAACAGCUAAGACUGUGUCAUAGAAUCAUAGAAUCAUAAUAUAAUGAUAAUGUGUCAAUAAAAGGUAUCACAUUAGAUAUUACUGAAAAUAUUGUAUCUUAAAGUAGUACAAUUCUCUUUUGAAACACAACUGUAUAUCUUUUAUUUUGUUACAGAAUACAUGUCUUUGUUAUAUAAGUCCAAGAACUACAACAGUGGAAGAAGUAAAUGCGUAAAAAUCAGGAGCAUUAAUCAUACUAAUAGAAAAGAGGCAGACUUCCCUUUCAAUACAAGAAUAAUGUAUUGCUCUCAUGACAGUUUAUUCUUUCAUUAUCAUUUUGAUUAUCGUAGGACUGACUUCUCUCAUAACUGGUGGUGACUCCAAUGCUUGCAAUUCAUGCUGAAAUAAAUAUGAUAUUCAUCAUAUCUGAACUGAACCUAACCCAAAGUCAACAAAGUUGUGCUUCUGUAUUUACAGAAUCGAGAGUCAGUUGAUAUUUCCAUCAUACCCUUUAUUUUUAAAGGUCUUAACUUGGAUUUUGCUUUUCAUUGUGUUUAUUUUAGACUUUCUAUAGUUAAUAUAUUAACUGCAUGAAAACUGCAUUUGAAUGAAGAAUCAAAUAUGCAAGCCAAAGAAAAAUCUUUUCCCAACUUUAAAAUGCAUGAUUUUUUUCAGUGCUUGGAAAGGCAAAGCCUCCUCCCAUGAAGAACAGUCCAAAAUAGAUUUUGUCCAAAGAUAACAGCUUGUGGUCCCAGAACUGGCUCCAGGAAAACAGGGUGUGGGUCCACGACUUCCCUGCCACUUUCGCCGCCAGACUGCUCAGGGCCGGCCCCUACCCGCCAACAAUUUUUUUUUUUCCCUUCUAUUUCUCUUCCUUUUUUUCCGGGCCUGUCCCCCUUGUCAUGGCUGCAGAUCCUUAGAUGACACCAUGACACCUGUCACACAGAUUUUACUGCUCUUGAAAAGCAGCACAACUCCAGUUUGGUGGGAAUUUUGCCUAGCAUGGGAACUGGGGAGGUCCUAUCCUUGCUUGAUGCAAUGGAGACAUGGAGGUUGAGCAGUGAGAUCCAGGAGUGACACCCAAGGAGUGCACUGUUCUGCUGACAUCAGAGGAGUGGUGACAACUCUUGCCUGAAGUGCCACUGAGAGACCUUGCUGAACUAAGCAAAUGGUAGGAAGGAGGCCUGAGUGCUGAAAUGCUAGCAGGUAAGUCCACAGUCUGUGUGACCAGAUGUUAGCUAAUCUCAGCCAUUUGCUGCAGCAGUGUGAAUUGCCCAUUGACAGCACUGGGCUGGAGAUCUGUAAUGAUGAUUAACAAUACCUACUGAAUCACUGUCAUUUUGAUUGUCAUGCUACUGGUGGUUGUAUAUGCAGGGAUACACCACAGGAUAUUUUUAAGUCUAAAGCCUGAAUUAUUAUCUUGGUCAGAACAACAUGAAUAUAUUCUAAUCCCUUAAUUUUGUGCCAGAAGGAUACCGGGGUUCAUGUUGUCCCCCAUGGCUCUUCUUUUCUUUGAGUUAGAUGAAGGAAAUGAAGCAAAGCCAAUUCCACCGAAGCUCUGAGUUUUUGAAUGAAAAGUAGUGGAGGUUCAGCAAAGUAAAUAGGAAAACAUCAGUUGAAAAAAAUCCCAUAAAACAAAAGAAUAAUAUUUAAAAGAGUAGGGACAGGAAAUUACUUGUGAGAAAUGCAAAACACUGAGUGAUUUCUUUUUUAAAUGUAUGUCGCCAGUUUAGUGUUUAAAGCUGCUCAAUGGCUGGGAUAGAAACUUCUUGUGAAAUAUAUUAGGUGUUUAGAGUCACUUAGUGGUUAGUAAAAUACCCUCCUAAUGGAACAACGUAUUAAUUGCUCAGGGCCACUCAAAGCAAACACAUAUAAAAUAUUUAAAUGUCUGGAGAUGCUCAGCAGCUUGAUAACCAACUUUAUUUAAUAAAGUCUGUUCAGUGUUUAGAGGUGAUCAGUGGCUGGGAAAACAACCCAUACUCAGCAGUAGAAAUGCGGGGCUAAUAAAAUACAGAGCUGCUCAGUGGCUGCAGCAAGGUUUCUAAAGCUGCUCUAAAAUUAGGGAAACUGAAUUAAGUAGAGAAUAACAGUAGAGACACUGGGUAGUUCCGCAGGAUUAAUGGCUGACUGGGAUGAGUUGAUGGCCUGUAGCUACACUUCAGGUCAUUAACCCCAGCUGGUCUUCAGAAUUCGCCCAGCACUGAAGUCAUCAUUACUGUUGUAAUCAGUAAAAAAAAAAAAAAAAAAACUACAAAACAAACAGCCAAAAAAAACCCAACAAUUCCUCAGCAGCCUUAUGUGUAUUAUGUAUAUGAAUGUCUGUAUUGUGUCUAUGUACUCUAGGGAGAGACUUGCAUAUUCAUACUUACAUGGAUUUUCACUUGAACAACUGCAAUGUUUUUUAGUUAGUUAAGAUUAUUGAGAGAUCUACUUCAAUUUCCACUUGUACAUGAAUCAUAAUCAAAGUUUUGAUGCACUGCACUUUCCAGUUGCUGCUGUCUGCACUCCUGAAAGGCAAGAAGGAGCAUUUCAGUUGGGAUAUUUAGCGUGGCCUCAUGUAGGUUAAAUGGAAGCUUCAUUUGGGUACUUUCCAAGUGUCCUAUGUCCUUCACAUACUGAUCUGCUUUCCUUUUCAUGAAUAGCAGAGUGGCAGCAUUAUUUACUGUUGUACUUGGCAUUUUUAUAGGAUAAUGCACCCAGAAGGAUAAUAAAGAAUUUUUCAGAGACUCUUUGGAGAUUGCUGGGCUUGCUGUUGAAAUGCAUUUUCCCUUGGGAUGAUGCCAACCCUUUCUGGGACAACAGUAUUACACGGUAGUGUUUUAACAGGAGGAAGUGUAGAUAAAAUUUAAAUGAAACAACAGGGGAAAUGUGGGCAGGGCAUAAAUGCCUCCUGGAGUUUAGCCAGGAUUAACUUCCUCAGGUCAUUCUACAACUCGUUCUGAUUCAGUCCAGCCAUGAACAUAUCUACACUGUCCUGGGUUUAGCAUUUGCCUUAAUUCCCUCUGUUCAAUCAUUUAGGAGGUAGCUGCCAUGCUGCACGUUCCAGAGCUAAAAAUCAUACUUGCAAACUGCUUCUAAUAUGUAAACAAAGAUUCUACUGGACUAGGAUAUAAUUUUGCAAAUCAACAGGAGAUACCAUAAUUGUUUAAAUGCUCUGAAUUAUACUCUGAAAUGUAGCCUGGAAACAUUUACAUCUCCAUGCCUUGUUGCCUGAAGCUAGAUUGUUAUAAUGACCCUCAACCCUCAGGUUAACAUAUCAAUGGAAGAAGUUGAGGAAUUUAAUACAGAUUUACGUGCUCAUCUUCUAGGCCCCUAAAUUUGACUGUUUUGACUAUUAUCUGUGCUUCUUUGUUUUUCCACUGAAUACCAGAAUCAUCUGACAAGAUAGAUAUAAGCAGAUGCAGUUCAGACAUUUUAUCAGGUGCUUUCAGGCAGUCCUUUCAGUGACAGCAAAUGCUUCCCUGCUUCCCAACACUAAUUUUUACCAUUCUACCACCUCACUGCUCUCUGCCUAGACUGUGACAAGAUAUGACAAGCCAUCAGUAUCACAAAUCUUUUACUGGAAUGACAGUGAUGUUGAUAUUGGUAGUUUCUUUCUCUUCUGUUAUUUAUUUGCAUUCACUUGAGCUGUUUUUAUAUGUUUUCUAACAUGCUGUUUUAUGUACAUUAAUUUUUAUUUGUUUUCUGAUGCUCCUACAACUCUUUUUGUCCAGCUUUGGGCCUGUAUUUCUUUGACUGUCUGGUAAGCUGUUUACACUUCUAAGCAAUGUUACAUCCCUUAUCACCGCUUGCCUGUAGUCCUCUAUGCUACAACUGUCCCCAGUUCUCAAGCUACCUGCUGUUACACCUAGUCUGUAAUCGUCUACAGUGCACUAUUAAGUUAAAGACAUAAAUAAGGAGUUCAACACUUCAUAUCUACUUAAUAUCACUUGUUAGCACUGAUCAUUAGAAAAAAUACUUUUACAAUUAACACAUGCAUUGAAAAAACAGAAUUCUGGACUGUUUAUGAGAAGUUCAGGAAAACCACUGCUGACAAACCUCAAUGAAAUAUUUGCGUUAUUACUGGUUAUGUCAGUGUCAGUACUGUAUUACUGACCUACAAAGCUAUGGCAGGAGGACUCUCUUCCUCAGGAAUGAAGGCUGUACUUCCUCCUCUGAUUCCAUCCCUCAUUCCAUUGAUGUGUGGAGGAUAAGACAGAAAGAAAAGUGAAUCCAUCUUUCCCUCCCUUUUUCAUCUAUAGAAGUACUAUGUGCUGUUGAUCUUCUGAAUCCUGCAGCUUUAAAGGGAGAAUAUGAAGUCUGACCAGACAAGUCUAUGAAUUCUGAGCAACAUAUAUUGGCAAGGAAGAACUGAAAUUGCUAUACCAAGUCAUCAUAUCAAACUACUGGGAGUAACACUGUCAGUAGUAAAUUGCUAUGUUGCAAGACAGCAGGUAGCAGAGGAAGCUCCUAGCAGGGAGAGAUGGAUGAGAGAUAUAGUAGCUUACACCCCACCGGAAAGGAUUACCAGUGAAGCCCCAAAGGAAUAUAAACAAUUUGAUAAAAUUUGGACAGAGAUUUUAGUAGCACAGACAGAGGCUUUUUCAGUGAAAUCCUCCCCUCCAAUGCUAAGCACGUCAGGUGAGAGUCUAUGUUGUGGCUCUAGGAGAUGCAGCACAGACCUCAAGGCCAAGAGUCAAAGGGGAAAAUAAUGACUUUACAUUACCUCUGCAUCCUCAUAAUUCUGGGCUACCCCUGCAGAGUUGGCCUGAAUUUCUGCUGUUAUGUUCUGCCACCAUACACUUAACACAUCCAUCCUAUUCCAGCUUGGUUUUGUCCCUUUCUUGCCCCAGACUGAGCCAGAGUCUGGAAGACAGAUUACACAAAUGUUUUACCUGCAAACAAAUUUAUCUUGACACAGAUAUAUGCCAUGACAAAUCUUAGUCUAAAUGCUUAGAGUUUGGUAGAGCAAUAAACAUCUGAAGUGUCUAAAAAUGUGUUACAAAAGCCUUAAUGAUAUAUGGGGUCUAUUUUGUGUGUGUGUGGGUGGGGGGAGGGGGAGGGAGUGUUAAUGUUUUCUGUGUUCUGAAGUCCUUAUUUAACUAUUCACAUAUUCAAUAAAAGAAAUCAACAAACCAAAACAAACCACUACCAUCACCACCACCAAAGAAAAAAAAAAAAAAACAGCCUAAAGUUUCAAGUUAUUGAGGUAAUUUAUAUAUUCAUUCACUUCCAGAUUUUUCCCCUUAUCAGCCACAUUGUAUUGCAAAAAUAUAGUUCUGUGCAUUUUGUUUAGGAAGGAUUCAAACCUGCAUUACUAUGUUUUGUCUAGUGACAGUAUCAGAUAAAAAUAAUGCUACUAUCUUUGUAAAUUGGUAAUGAAGUGAUACCUCUCUGUAUGUAUAUAUGUUUUUUUUUAAAAGGAAAUCUGUUUUCUGCCCUACAACCUUAUUAAAAAAAUUAACAUUUCAAGAGUUGCCGUCAUCUUUCACAUUUUCCAAGUGGACUGACUCCCAUCCCUAUAACAUUUUUUUCUGAUUAGCGUGCUGUCCUUUUUAAUCAAUAAAGCUACAAAGCCAGCUAUCUCUCACACUAUGGUUAUCUUUCAUUGUACAGUACAUAAUGCCGCUAGUCCUGCUGAUAACAAAGGGCACACAGACAGAAUGUGGCACUGUGUGUUUGUUAUCUUCCACUCAACUAAACAUACCUCUUUCUCUCUUGGCUCUUAUCAAUGCAAAAAUGCUGGAAACAAGUUACUCCUAGUGUUAACACUGCACAUGCCACGCAGUCGGGAUGGAGAUUUUUUCCUGUCUUAAGGCAGCCAAUUUGAUACAGCACUACAAAAGCCUGCCAAGGUGAUGCAUCACCUUGUCAGCCUUUAAGAAGGCAGUGCGAAGUGGCACCGUCAGCAGCCAGCUGUACCCAGCUAACCAGAAUGCUCUGGAUGCUCCGGGAGCAUAAGGCAGGGAGAUUGACCCCAGAGCUGUUUGUGGUUGACCUCAGACCUGCAAAAAGGAAAGUAAUCCAGUUCUAUUCUUUUUCAUUUCCUACAAAACAUAAAAGCUGAUAAGCUUUGGUCUCUCUCAUGGCAAUAAGAAAACAGUUAAAUUGAACCUUCAGUUCAGUUAGAGAACAAUCCAGCGAUUUCUGUUCUUGCAGGUCUGCCACUCACAAAGGAUGAAAGUGCCUUUCUCGGGAAAAAAAAAAAAGAUAGGACCAUUUUUUUAUGUGUUCCUUGACACAAAACACCCUAAUGGAUGCUGGUUCGGUCCUUCUGAACUUGAGAAGUAUAACUAAGAUAUUUUAUUGGUACUCUAGGAGAACCUGAUGUUCCCCAUUUAAACAGAGCUUUGAUCGUGUGUUCAGACAAAAUUUGCAAGAGACCUACCAUUUUUCCCUUUGCUCUCAACUGAUCUUUAAAAAAGCUUAAACUGAUGGUUACUGACUUCCACAAUAUUUUCCUGUUUUUUUUUUGUUGUUGUUUGUUUAUUUAAGAAAAGACUGGAAUGGCCCAUAAAAAAGCAAAAUGUGUAAGCUUCUAAGAAAUAAAACAAGUACAUUUUUGCUGAGAGUAUAAGUGUGUUAGCUUAUGUGUGUGCAGUAUGUGUAUGACAAAAUCCUUGUUAACUAAGAAGAGUUUGAAGAAAAAACAAGCAUGUGUAUACCUAUAUAGCAUAUCCAUCUUUAUAAAUAAAUAGCAAGAUCUUAUUACAUGUUUUAUUGCAUGAUUUUUAUCAGAAGCAUGAGAACUUUUCAAAUAUAUAUGCAACAUAAAAAUAUAAUUUUAUAUCAAUACUGUACUUGAUAAUACUCAAAUAAUCUCCAAAACACAGUUAUUCCUGUGUUGGAAACACUUCAGAUUUUGUAAUUUCUAACCACUAAGUACACUGUUAUGAAGUUUUAAGUAAGAAAUGAUUCUGCAGUUGUGUUUUAUGUCUUGCUUGAGAGCAUGACCUUUGAUAACGGGUAGCAGCAAUGGAAUUCAAAGUGUACAUAGUAUUUACGAUGUGCUCAUAACUGUGUUGCUUCUAGCUCUAGGCAAACACUACGUAUCUGCAUUCAGAUUUUAAAAUAAAUUUACUUCAGUGUGUUGAUAUGUUUGAGUUUGCUUUCUACAAAUAUUCAUCAAUGAGUAGGAGUAGUGUGAAAAACUUGAGAUAAGCAAAUUUACUGUCAAAUACUCAAAUAUCUUUUUGAAGCUGGUGUUGUAUUUUGUGUUGGAUUCUACACUUUGGAUUUCCUUAAUGUACUCCACUGAUGAGCUAAAAAAAAUCACAAAAAAACCCCCAGCAUAUUACU